UGACCUCAAAUCAGGUAGGACUACCCGCUGAACUUAAGCAUAUCAAUAAGCGGAGGAAAAGAAACCAACAGGGAUUACCUCAGUAACGGCGAGUGAAGCGGU
rnacentral:rRNA from 1 species